rnacentral:rRNA from 1 species
GGGCUUGACAUCCCACGAACCUGAUAGAGAUAUCGGGGUGCCGCAAGGAGCGCAGAGACAGGUGCUGCAUGGCUGUCGUCAGCUCGUGUUGUGAGAUGUUGGGUUAAGUCCCGUAACGAACGCAACCCUUGCCCUUAGUUGCCAGCAUUUAGUUGGGGACUCUAAGGGGACUGCCGGUGAUGAACCGGAGGAAGGCGGGGACGACGUCAAGUCAUCAUGGCCUUUAUGUCCAGGGCUACACACGUGCUACAAUGGACGGUACAGAGAGUCGCGAGACCGCAAGGUGGAGCUAAUCUCGGAAAGCCGUUCUCAGUUCGGAUUGCAGUCUGCAACUCGACUGCAUGAAGUUGGAAUCGCUAGUAAUCGCGGAUCAGAACGCUGCGGUGAAUACGUUCCCGGGCCUUGUACACACCGCCCGUCACAUCACGAAAGCAGGCUGUACUCGAAGUCGCUGAG